AUUGAACGCUGGCGGCAUGCUUUACACAUGCAAGUCGAACGGUAACAGGGUGCUUGCACCGCUGACGAGUGGCGAACGGGUGAGUAAUGCGUCGGAACGUGCCGAGUAGUGGGGGAUAACGCAUCAAAAGGUGUGCUAUACCGCAUACGUACUGAGGUAGAAAGUGGGGGACCUUCGGGCCUCACGCUAUUCGAGCGGCCGACGUCUGAUUAGCUAGUUGGUGAGGUAAAGGCUCACCAAGGCGACGAUCAGUAGCGGGUCUGAGAGGAUGAUCCGCCACACUGGGACUGAGACACGGCCCAGACUCCUACGGGAGGCAGCAGUGGGGAAUUUUGGACAAUGGGCGCAAGCCUGAUCCAGCCAUGCCGCGUGUCUGAAGAAGGCCUUCGGGUUGUAAAGGACUUUUGUCCGGGAGCAAAUACCCAGUGCUAAUAACGCUGGGGGCUGAGAGUACCGGAAGAAUAAGCACCGGCUAACUACGUGCCAGCCGCCGCCGUAAAAC
rnacentral:rRNA from 1 species